rnacentral:rRNA from 1 species
GAGGGCACGUCUGCCUGGGUGUCACGCAUYGUUGCCCCAAAACCUUGUCGUCCCUUCGGUCAACCGGAGGCGAUGAGGUGCUUGGGCGGAAGUUGGCCUCCCGUGAGCAUUGCCUCGCGGAUGGUCGAAAUUGGAGCCUGUGGGGAGCGACCGCCACGUUCCACGGUGGUUGAGCAGAUGCCUCGAGGCCGACCGUGCACGAGUUGUCCCCACGUCAAAGGCUGCGAGACCCUUGCGAGCAAGAAAGUGCUCCCAACGCGACCCCAGGUCAGGCGGGGCCACCCGCUGAGUUUAAGCAUAUCAAUAAGCGGAGGAAAAGAAACUAACAAGGAUUCCCCU